GACAGAGGUGCCGAGCGUUAGGCGGAAUCACUGGGCUUAAAGCGUGUGUAGGCGGGUCGUUAAGUGCCUUGUGAAAUCCCACAGCUCACCUGUGGAACUGCUUGGCAUACUGGCGAUCUUGAGCCACUUAGGGGCAACCGGAACAAACGGUGGAGCGGUGAAAUGCGUAGAUAUCGACAGGAACGCCGGUGGCGAAAGCGGACCGCUGGCCCUCUUCUGACGCUGAGGCGCGAAAGCCAGGGGAGCGAACGGG
rnacentral:rRNA from 1 species